UUGCCAGGCAACCUGUGAGCAGGGAUUGAGUAGAGACUAAAGCAAACAGCAGCCUCCACCCGCCACCCCAGGAACCUCGUGCUUCUAGGUAAUGAAUCUCCCACCACAGCUCCACUGGAUGGAACCGCCCCAGCUUCCUCCAGCCCAAACUGCUGCACCCACCACCCAGAGAAAUGGAAGUCAAGGACUCAGCAGUCCAAGGCAGCCCUUCUGAAGCAACUUCAGGGGCUCAGCAAAUAUUUGUUGAGAACCUCCUCUGUGCCUGGCUGGAUCAGGGUGGGGCUGUAGAGCUGCACAUCAUAGUCUGCAUCCGGGUCAGCCCUGAAUCUCAGGCACUGGAAGGUUACCCUGAUGGGCAGGACCCACUCCCAUCACUAAGAGAACAUCAAAAGGGCAGGUGUGGGGGUGGAUAGGAAGAUCAGGAUCUCUGAAAGGACUCCACCUGGACCCAUGAUUCAUGACUCAACCAGUCCACCCAGAAGCUGACUCAGAGCAUAAGGAGCAUUUUCCACACCCCUAGGAUUUCAUCUCCAACCAAUCAGCAUUCCCCAUUCUCUAGCCCCUGUCCACCAAACUAUUCUUUAAAAACCUUAGCUCUAAGCUUUAUUUAUUUAUUUAAGUAAUACACUCCUGUCUUCCACUUAGCUGGUUCUGUAUUUAUUAAACUCUUUCUCUACUGCCAUACCGCUAUCUCAGUAAAUUAGCUCUAUCUGUGCAGUUGGCAAGAAGAACUGGUCAGGUGGUUAAAACACUACAGAUAGGCAUUGUUAAACAAAACAAUGGACUAAGCCCCUGCACUAGGCUCCAACAGAACAGACAAAAUCAAAAUGGAGUCACUCAUGCUAAAUGUCAUAUAAUCAAACUGAAACUCUAAGGAAGCUGAUAAAUCCUAAAACAGACCUUUUUUUUUCCUGAAAACAGGAAAUUUCAGUCUACCAGAGUCAACCUAGUAAGAAAGUUGCCUCUUCUUUGACCUUUAUGAGAAAGUAACCUGAAGUAACCUGACAUUAAUGAAUCAGCUUCUCUUCUACUAUUCUGUUUCCUUACUCCCACCUUACAAAGCUCACUGCUCUGCUUGCCCUAGUGAGAGAACUCAUUCUAUUGUGUAGAGUAGAGUCAGCCAUGAUUCAUGAAUUAUGAAUAAAAGACAAUUAGAUCUAUAACUAAGUUUGCUGUAAUUUUAUCUUUUGACAGCACUAUUGAUAUGGUUUGGAUGUUUGUCCCCUCCAAAUCUCAUAUUGAAAUGUAAUCCCCAGUGUUGAAGUUGGGGCCAAGUAGGAGUGGUGUGGGUCAUAGGGGCAGAUCCCUCAUGAAUGGCUUCGUGCCCUCCCUCACAGGAAUGAGUAGUUCCCACUCUACUAUUCAUGCAAGAGUUGGUUGUUUAGAAGAGGCCCGGCAUCUCUCUUGCUCUCUCUCUCUCACUAUGUGACACGCUGGCUCCCUUCCCCUUCUGCCAUGAUUAGAUGCUUCCUGAAGCCCUCGCCAGAGGCAGAUGCUGGCAUCAUGCUUCUGGUGCCAUGCUUGUACAGUCUGCAGAACAAUAAGCCAAAUAAAUCUCUUUUCUUUAGAAAUUACCCAGCCUCAGGCAUUCCUUUAUAGCAACACAAAAUGUACUAACACAACUAUUAUCGCCCCUAUUUUACAGAUGUGGAAACUGAGAAUCAGGAUAUUUUGUUGUCUUAGCCAAGGAAAAAUAGCAAGUAUUGUGGUGGAGAUUUGAGGCCAUCUGGUCCAGUGUCUUUGCUUUUUCCUACACCACUUUUUAAAGAUGAGGUUUUAAAAAAUGGCCCUAGUUCCUGAAUACUUGCUGUUGGGAGUAGCUGUGUUAGGAAGAGAGCUUUGGCCCAUGUCCUACCACAUAUGACUUCAGCCCUGCCUCUCUGGCCCACAGCCUGUCACCCUGUCAGAGAAGGAAAUCAGAGUCCACCAAAGUUACAGUAAUGCCCCCUAGAUGGCCAAAGAGAGAAGUAGACAAGAGUCCAUUGCCAUGGUGUUCAGCUUAGACUGGUGGGCUGGAGGCUGUUCUCAGGGUCCUACCAGCCCCACAGCUCUGGGGGAGGAGUUGGUGCAGCCACUCACAGGGGUGGGAGAGACAGCCAGAUGGGGCUGGCUCAUGCAGGCAGGGGUGGGUAAGCCUUUCUCUCCAGGAUGUCAGGGUUAUUAGGAGGGUGCCCAAGUCACUACCACAAGGUAGCCUAGAGUCUGCAUCCCCCAGGAUGUCCCCAGUCAUCCUCACCUCCUGGUAUUCAUGCCAUGGUCCAGUCCUCACCCACACUGAAUAGAGCUGACCUGUGUGACCAAUAGGAUAUUACAGAAAUGAUGGUAAAUGACUUCUGAGGCCAGGUCGUAAAAGACAUUACAGUUUCCAGCUGGCAGUUUCUUUUGGAUUAUUCUCUCUGGGGGAAGCCAACCACCAUGUCAGCAGGAUGCUCAAGCAGCCCAUGGAGACACCCAUAAAGUAGGGGACUGAAGCCUCCUACCGACAGCUAGCACAAAUUAUUUUUUGGAGACAGGAUCUCAAUUUGUCUCCCAGACAGAGUGCAGUGGUGCAGUCAUGGCUCACUGCAUCCUCAACCUCCCAGGCUCGAGAGAUCCUACCUCUUCAGCAUCCUAAGUAGCUGGGACCACAGGCAUGUGCCACCAUGCCCAGCUGAUUUUUUAAAACUUUUUUAUUUAUAGAGACAGGGUCUCCCUGUGUUGCCUAGGCUGGAUCACCAAUUUUUCACUUGUGUGUGAGAGCCACCUUGCAAGUGGGUCCUCCAGCCCUAGUCGAACCUUCAGAUGACUGCAACCCUGGCCCACAACUUGACUGUGUUAACCUAAAUAACAAAUAUAGAGAGGCUGUCUAAAAGAAAAGAUGUUUAUUUGGGACUAGAGCAUUGCAAUGGGAAUAUGUGUGCCAUAGUAAAUUAUGUGCAUAUUCAUGGAGGUAAAGG
rnacentral:lncRNA from 1 species